CACGUGAGCAACCUACCCUUGACUCUGGGAUAACAGCUGGAAACAGCUGCUAAUACCGGAUACGACCUCGACCGACAUCAGUUGAGGUGGAAAGUUCUGGCGGUCAAGGAUGGGCUCGCGGCCUAUCAGCUAGUUGGUGAGGUAACGGCUCACCAAGGCUUCGACGGGUAGCCGGCCUGAGAGGGCGACCGGCCACACUGGGACUGAGAUACGGCCCAGACUCCUACGGGAGGCAGCAGUGGGGAAUAUUGCACAAUGGGCGAAAGCCUGAUGCAGCAACGCCGCGUGCGGGAUGACGGC
rnacentral:rRNA from 1 species